UACGUAGGGGGCAAGCGUUGUCCGGAAUCAUUGGGCGUAAAGCGCGUGUAGGCGGCUCAGUAAGUCCGCUCUGAAAGCCCGGGGCUCAACUCCGGAACUGCCUUUAAGACUGCAUCGCUUGAAUCCGGGAGAGGUGAGUGGAAUUCCGAGUGUAGAGGUGAAAUUCGUAGAUAUUCGGAAGAACACCAGUGGCGAAGGCGGCUCACUGGACCGGUAUUGACGCUGAGGUGCGAAAGCGUGGGGAGCAAACAGG
rnacentral:rRNA from 1 species